rnacentral:snoRNA from 1 species
CAUUAGCACAUAUGUCAAAUUCCCACUAGAUUCAAAAUAUACUAAUAUUAUAAAACAUAUCUAUUGGAGCCGUAAUUGUGCUGAAAUUAAUUUUAAUCUCUGGAAAAAC